AUUAUAUGCUUGUCUUAAAGAUUAAGCCAUGCAAAUGUAAGAACCGAUAUAUAUUUAAUUAUCAAUCUGUGAACGGCUCAUUAAAAGAGUUAUAAACUUAGCCACUAGGAAAAUUUAAAAGGAUAACACCGUCAAAUGCAGCGCUAAUACUUGAAAGAAUAAUAAUACUUCAUUGAAAUGAUAUUAUUAUAAAAGCUAUUCAUGCUUCGGGAUGAAUAGUAUAUUGACCAUUGAUCUAAAGGUACUGUAAUUUGAGAGUGUAAUAAACUUGUGAGUGAAAGUGCUUUGUUUCUGGUGGCCUAGUAGAAGUGUUUCUUACCUAUCAGCUUAAGUUGUUUAUGUAAAGGAUAAACAAGGCUUUAACGGGUACGGGGAAUUAGUGUUUGAUUCCGGAGAGGGGGCCUUAAAAAUCGCUACCACAUCUAAGGACGGCAGCAGGCGCGAAAAUUACCCAAUUUUAAUACAAAGAGGUAGUGACAAGUUAUAAUGACUUUGCACUUUUAAAGUGUGAAGGUACCGUCUCUUUUGAUGGCUUAUCAUGAUUUAGGUCUAAAAAUUCUUUUGAGAAGCAAUUGGAGGAAAAGUCUGGUGCCAGCACCCGCGGUAAUACCAGCUCCAAUAGUGUAUAUUAAUACUGCUGUAGUUAAAACGCCCGUAAUCGAUCUAAGGAUUCGCUAUAUGAAAACUUGGUAGAUUACUGUUUGAAGGUGUCGGCUUUAUUAGCUGAUUAACCUGAUAAUGAGGCUACUAUUUUGCUAGUCUCUUUUAGAGAUAGGCAGUUGUCAUGUAGUGAAUUCGAACCUCUCCAAGUUUUUAAUUUGGAGUGGCCAUUGUAUAUUAAUGGAGCAACUGUGAGUAAAUCAUAAUGAUUAAAGUAGGCUAUGUUUAAAUUGCCUGUAUGUAAAAGCAUGGGAUUGUAUUAUAACUGUUCACACCUGGCUUUGUGCCUAUUGCGCACAAUGUUUAGGUGUGGAUGGUGUUUGUAAUGAGGUUCUGGGAGAGGUUCCUAGUACCAUGUAGAUAGGGGUGAAAUCCAAUUACCUACAUGUGUCUAUCUGAUGCGAAAGCUGUAGUGAGCCACCACGAACCUAUCGAUGAGGGACGAAAGUUAGGGGAUCGAAGAUGAUUAGAUACCGUCGUAGUCCUGACCAUAAACGAUACCGACAUAGAAUUGGAUAUGAAACCUUUAUGCAGAUCUCUUCAGAACUAAAGAGAAAUUGAGUCUUUGGGUUCUGGGGGGAGUAUGGUCGCAAGUCUGAAACUUAAAGGAAUUGACGGAAAGGCACCACCAGGAGUGGAGUUUGCGGUUUAAUUCGACUCAACGCGGGAAAACUCACCAGAUCAGGACAAAUGUAUGAUUGACAGGUUAAAAAUCCUUUCUUGAUUAUUUGGAAGGUGGUGCAUGGCCGUUUGCAGUUCGUGGAGUGAUCUGUCUAGUUAAUUCUGAUAACGAACGAGAUUCAAACUUUUAACUAGCUGUAUUUGUUUCAUUCGUGAAAUAAUACAAAAUAAGCUUAUUAAAAGGACUAAAGUCACCUUAGACUAAGGAAGUUUUGGGUUAUAACAGGUCUGUGAUGCUCUUAGAUGUUCUGGGCCACACGCGUACUACAAUAAUAGUAGCAAUAAGCUUAGUAAAUAUUUUUAAUGUUUACUCCUUUAUUUCUAACAGGUAUGGGGAAACUUUUAAGCAAUAUUAUGACUGGGAUAAAACUUUGUAAAAAGUUUUUGGACGAGGAAUUCCUAGUAAUCACGAGUCAUCAUCUCGUAUUGAUUACGUCCCUGCCUUUUGUACACACCGCCCGUCGCUCCUACCGAUUGAAUGAAGAGAUGAAUCUGAUGGACUUUGAUUUUUAUGUUGUAAGACAUUUAUUUUCUGGGAAAUUAGCUGAAUCCCUUUGUUUGUAGGAAGGAAAAGUCGUAACAAGGUCUUC
rnacentral:rRNA from 1 species